rfam:Firmicutes bacterium CAG:170 genomic scaffold, scf48
GUUAUAAUAGUCUGGCUGCCAAAGACAGCAGGAGGCUUCCGCCGUAAUGGGACAACCCAUCCUGCCGAGGUUCGCGGAAUGAAUUGUCAUUUUGUGUCCUCAUGUCUUUUGGCAUGAGGACACUUUAUUUUAUCGG